rnacentral:rRNA from 3 species
UAAGGUGGUUAUUGCGGCGGGGCUCACCUCUUCCCAUCCCGAACAGAGAAGUUAAGCCCGCCAGCGCAGAUGGUACUGCAGUCAUGUGGGAGAGUAUGUCGUCGCCUUUC